AUGGUGAACCGUCACAUCAGAAAAUGCAAAAGGAUAGAUAAUAUCAAAACUUACGAACCGUUAAAUAUCUUGAUUCCUGAGAACAGGUUUUUGUAUGCCGUGGUUAAUAUAUUGUCCAACUGUGACUACGGUUUUGACUACUGGGGUAAAGGAACAAUGGUCACUGUAACUUCAGCCACUUCAUCCAAACCAACCGUGUUUCCUCUGAUGCAAUGCGGGUCUGAGACUGCAAACACCGUCACUCUUGGCUGCCUUGCCACUGGCUUCUCGCCCUCCUCGGUGACCUACGCGUGGAGCAAAGCUGGAACUGCCUUGACGGACUUCAUCCAGUAUCCUCCAGUAGAGAAGAGUGGUGUUUAUACAGGAAUCAGUCAAAUCAAAGUGAACAAAGAGGACUUGGAUGCAAAGCAGCCCUUUAAAUGCAUCGCAUCAAACACAGCAGGAGAAGGAGAGGGGAUUUUCAUCGUGACACAACCGCUGGUUGUAUCUCCAAACAUCACAUUACAACCUGUCUGGGAAGGUGAAUUCAAAGCCUCAGGGGUCAGACUCAUCUGCACCUUGAGUGGAUUCUUUCCAGGUGAACUGAGUGUGGAGUGGAAGCUGGACAACGACCCUCUAGUGAUUAAUCCAAUCGAAAGGAAGCUGCAGACCGUGGAGGGAGUGAAUAAAACAUUUAGUUUUAGCAGUGAGAUUGAGCCAAACAGCAAGAAGUGGGCAAAAGGCUCAAGCUAUACAUGCAAGGCGAUUCACAACAACAUUGAAUUUACAAAGACAAUUAGUGUCUGUCAAAUCGUUCCAAGCACCACUCCUUCCAUGCAUUUACAAACCCCGAGCUUCAAGACGGUAAUGACGGCAAAGUCAGACAUUAAGGCAACAUGUUCAGUCUGCACUAUUUUUGAUGCCACUGUGACAUGGAGGCUGGAUGAGGACUCUCCCUCCAAAGAACACAUCAACCAGGUCACUAAUGCAAGUCAUAUAAUAAGCACUCUGACAGUUUCAUCAAGCAGCUGGCAAAGACUGAAGGAUCUAAAAUGUAAGGCUGAACAUCACUGCUUCUCCUCUACUGAAGUUACAUUUGUUCCAGGACCUGCAGUCAGACCUCCAUUGAUUCAGAUCAGAAGAUCUCUCCCACAUUUGCUGAAGGGAGACAGUGCUGUGCUGGUGUGUGACAUCACACAGUCCGACUCCAGGGAUCUAUCUGUCACCUUACAUAAUAAUAAGAAUGCUAUUAUUGGCACACAGUUUGUUGAUCUUCCUCAAACCCCAGGACCACAUUCAAUCAGUAGAUUCUUCUCUGUGCCUCAAAAUCACUGGAAGAAAAACACAAGUUUCUACUGCAGCGUAAGCCAAGGUUUCUCUGGCAGUUCUACAUCAAACUCUACUGGCAUUAUCUUUGUGGAUCCAUCAGUGGAGCUCCUUCUGGUCCCAGGUGAAGAGUCUGGACAACAGAGACUGUCGUGCUCUGGAUGGGGCUUUGACCCUCAAAUCAAAUGGUCUUCUGAGUCCCAGCAAAAAUCUCCUUCGACCUAUGACAUCAGCAUGGGUGCAGGUGGACGUGUGGCAGUAACCAGUCAACUUCUUGUCCCUCAAAAAGAGUGGAAAACGGGGAAAAGCUUCACCUGUGAAGUCUCUGACAGGUCUCUGAACAAACAAUACAGAAAGGAAAUCAGCGUCUGUACAGUUACUCCCACAUCAUCUCAAUCAGUUGGGGUCUAUAUUCAGGGACCACCACUCCAAGAGAAUCAGAACACGGGACAAGUGACUGUCACCUGCCUUUUGGUUGGCCCUCUUCUAAAAGAUAUUUCCAUCUACUGGAAAGUAGAUGGAAACACAUAUACCCAUCGUGCCCAUAUAGAGCCACCAGUGAGUCUCGGCAACGGUACAGAAACUUUGCGGAGCUUCCUUAACGUGUCAGCAGAGGACUGGAACUCUUAUAAAAACGUGUCAUGUGAGGGGAAGCAUCCAUGUUCCAAGCAGAGCUACAAGGACCAUAUAAAGAAAUGCAAUGACACCAGUCCACCAACAGUGAAGAUUAUACAACCAAGUGCCUCUCAGGCUUCCACAUCACACUUCCUCGCACUUACUUGCCUGGUGUCAGAAUUUUUCCCAUCCAACAUAAUAGUGUACUGGAAAAAAGAUGGCCAGAGACUCCCUUCAACUGGCUACACUAACAGUCCUGCAUGGAAGUACACCGGGAGCAGCACUUAUUCAAUGAGCAGCAGACUAAAUAUAACCAAAACUGUGCACGAGGAGUCCACAUAUUCUUGCGUUGUCAGACAUGAGUCAUCCGAAAUGCCCCUUGAAAGCAGUAUAAAGGAUGUGUUUGACGUAUUGAAGAGCUGUGAUUUUUUGGAUAAUAUUAUGUAUGCUGAAAGGAUCCAAGACAAAGAUGAGGAAGGCUGGUUUAUGGCUUUCAUAUUUCUCGUUUUUUUCCUCAUCUCUAUCGUCUAUGGUGUCCUUGCAACCCUGUUUAAGACUAAAUGAUGGCGAUCACAGGAACAGAUCAACUUUCAAGAUCAAAAAGUGAACUUCUGGAGAUUUUUGAUUGUAUCUGGUCUUGUUAAUCUUUAAAUGGGAUAAGAAAUGCUCCCAUCAUUAUGCUCCUUUCAACUGUUUUACAUCUUGUUACUUUUCUACAUGCCAAUUCUUUUGAGAUUAUGCCACCAAUGUCAUGAAAAAAAAUCCUGUAUCAUUUGUGCAUUGA